AUUGCCAUCCGACUGUUUCUCCAUCGUCAAACUCAAACGUUUCAGUAGCGUUUUCACCCUUGGUGCUCCUAUGUUUUCGACGUGAACAAACAAAUUUUAUAACAAUUAAGGAAAGGAGUGUUCUUGUUCACAACGGAAACAGAUGAGCACAAAGAUGUGCAGAUGCUACUGAAAACGUUUUGACUUUGACGAUGGAGAAUAGUCUGAUAGCGAUUAAAUGGAGAGGCUCCUCCAGUAACUUAGAC